rnacentral:rRNA from 1 species
GAUGAACGCUAGCUACAGGCUUAACACAUGCAAGUCGAGGGGCAGCAUGAACAAAGCUUGCUUUGUUUGAUGGCGACCGGCGCACGGGUGCGUAACACGUAUCCAAUCUGCCCGCGGCUCGGGGAUAGCCCAUCGAAAGAUGGAUUAAUACCCGAUGGCGUGGUUUCUCCGCAUGGAGUUUCCACUAAAGGUUUUCCGGCCGCGGAUGAGGAUGCGUAUGAUUAGGUAGUAGGCGGGGUAACGGCCCACCUAGCCUUCGAUCAUUAGGGGUUCUGAGAGGACGGUCCCCCACACUGGAACUGAGACACGGUCCAGACUCCUACGGGAGGCAGCAGGGAGGAAUAUUGGUCAAUGGGCGAGAGCCUGAACCAGCCAAGUAGCGUGAAGGAAGACUGCCCUAUGGGUUGUAAACUUCUUUUGUUCGGGAAUAAAGUGCAGUACGCGUACUAUUUUGUAUGUACCGUUCGAAUAAGCAUCGGCUAAUUCCGUGCCAGCAGCCGCCGCAGUAA